CGGAAAUUAAUCAAACUGCUUUUCUAGUGGGCGUUUCUUCUUCUUCUUCUUGUUCUGGGGCAGCGUUCGUGCACACUUGUCGCAGAUAUUUCACCAUUUUAUGCCUCAGCCGCUGUGAAAAUGAUCCAGAAGUUGAGAUUCUUCGAAAGGACCUCGUGUCACGAAGAGGGGAGAAGGAAAAGCUCCAUCACAUGACGGAGGAUGUGCGUCGGUGGUUCACAAGCACUCAUUAAUCUGCAGCGCAGAAGGUGAUCUGGAGGAGAAGAUGCCCCAUUUCACAACAUAAUACAACAAACUGCACGAGGCAAUGGAGAGCUCAGCCUGUGUGGGGCUUUCCUCUGGGGAAGUGCUCCCUUGAUGGCCAACACAGCCAAACAACUACUUUGAUAAGGAACAUACAACAAUGAAGGGCCAUCCGGAGUUCUCGUCCGUGUUUGUAAGUAGUUCUACGAGAAUAACAUCCUCUCCUAACAGCACAGGCCCGGCACACUGCCUUCUUGCCCCAGCUCUGGCUCCCCCUAGCAGUCCCUCCAUAUUUCCUUGUUACUGCACACCAUAAUGCCCUGACCCUCCCUGAUCUAUUAUACAGUAAAAACACCAAAAUACAUCUUAAAACCUAAAUUUCUCUGUCUAAAUAAUAACUAUAGAGGCUCUACUUGCCUUCCAGCCAACAUUAGGCACCAUUGGCCACAUCAGAACAGAGGAUUGCUUACCUUUCAGACAGUGGCUCUAACUAUACCUCCCUCUCCAAAGUCCCAACCUCGACAGCCUCCUUCUUCUUCCCAGCAAUCCCUGCAAAAAGGACACUUCCAUGUCUGUAGCUCAUGUAGGGGUGAACAAAUUUGACAAAAUCAUUUCUAAAAAGCCCAGAAAGUCCCCCAAAUCUAAAAAUGGCCAUUUGGGCCCUAAAUAAACAUGACCUCCAAUACCCCAUUAUAAAAUAAUUUAAAAAAUGGCAUUAAAAGGUAAAGCCCCCUCCUCAGAAAUAUACUGUUCUACCCCUAUGGUUUCAACUUAUUUUGGUCCAUCCAGUAGUCAUACAGUUAAUACUGAAGAGGGAUUGUCCGUGAGUGCGCAACUGAACUCUUAGGAACUUGCUGCUGCUUUUCGUGCGUUUGCCAAGUCAUGGAGCAUCUCUGAGAGGCUACACAGACUUCAUUGGUGGGAUUAAUUGGUAAAACGGACCCUUUUCUUAUGGACUAGAUCAAAAGAAUCCGAAGAAAACUAUUUUCACGUGAAUAAAAUCCAACAAAGCCAAAAGUGAGCCGCGAAUCCAAAUGGACAUCUCCAAAAGUGCACAGGUGUAUCCAAAUGCUCAGGGAGCUCUCAAGAGGCAACAGGAGUAUAAAAGAAAAUUGUAUCCAGCGUAAAAGCUGGGGGCAGGAGGAGCGCCUUGUUGACACGUUGAAAGCCACAAUAUUGAAGCCCCGGGGCAGAGGCGCGACUACAGAACACCGAAAUAUAUUCAUGUACAGUGUCACCAUUCUUAUGUUCUAGAUUAAACAAG